rnacentral:rRNA from 1 species
UGGGGAAUAUUGUGCAAUGGGCGAAAGCCUGACACAGCAACGCCUCGUGAAGGAUGAAGUCCCUCGGGAUGUAAACUUCGUAAGAAUAGGAAGAAUAAAUGACGGUACUAUUUGUAAGGUCCGGCUAACUACGUGCCAGCAGCCGCGGUAAUACGUAGGGACCAAGCGUUGUUCGGAUUUACUGGGCGUAAAGGGUGCGUAGGCGGCAUAUCAAGUCACUUGUGAAAUCUCCGGGCUUAACUCGGAACUGCCAAGUGAUACUGAUGUGCUAGAGUGCAGAAAGGGCAACUGGAAUUCUUGGUGUAGCGGUGAAAUGCGUAGAUAUCAAGAGGAACACCUGAGGCGAAGGCGAGUUGCUAGGCUGACACUGACGCUGAGGUACGAAAGCUAGGGGAGCGAACGGGAUUAGAUACCCCCGUAGUCCCUGAGCGGGCUGGCAAGGCGCAU